UCCAACUCCACCUAACUUUGACAGUUGACUGGAUUGGGGACGUUUUGACGUUUUGUAAUUGGAAAAGAGGGACGACCAGAUUAAAAUCCCGCCAAAUUAUUAUUCGAAUGGAGACAUUUUUUAUUUCUUUGUCUCCAUUUGUAACGGCCAUUAGUUCGAAGAAUAGCGAAGGCGAAACAGCACGUAAGUUGAAAGAUAUAAAAUGCCGAAAACAACCAGCAGUUGGAGAAAAUGUGUUGUUGGCUGCAACGAGGGAGGAAGAACAUUUAGUUUUCCGAACAGUGGAACGAACCUCGAACGUUUUAGGUGAUGCAUAUAAUCGUUAGGUGAACAAAACUAUCAUACUUUGUAGCAACAUGUUGCAAGAUGGAAAAACUGGUGCACCCUAAUAAAACACACCACACCGGAGAUUAUCGCAUUCAAACAUCAGUACACAAGACAACACAACACAGCGCCUGCACACAGUAAACAAAAGGAAUGGUUCCCUCAAUUACUUAACCUCUUAAUCGAACGAUUCAGCGAUCCAACGUUUUCCACAUUUGUUUUCUCUUCGAUACCAAAAAUUAUCCUGCGCGCCACUCUUAUUUGAUCAUCCACUUCUACAACAGCAAAACGUUUUAUGGAAUUAGUUUUAGUUUUAAAAUUCUAGUCGCUCUACUAAUCAACAAUCGUUCUGUAUAAACUUUAAAAUAUAUAA